GGCAUAUGUGAUGAGCAUUAUGGGACUUAAUUCUGAAAACUUUGAUGUCUUACACUUGCUGAUAUGC
ensembl:snoRNA SNORD82 Small nucleolar RNA SNORD82